UACGUAGGGUGCAAGCGUUUGUCCGGAAUUAUUGGGCGUAAAGAGCUUGUAGGCGGUUUGUCGCGUCUGCUGUGAAAUCUCAAGGCUCAACCUUGAGCUUGCAGUGGGUACGGGCAGACUAGAGUGUGGUAGGGGAGACUGGAAUUCCUGGUGUAGCGGUGAAAUGCGCAGAUAUCAGGAGGAACACCGGUGGGCGAAGGCGGGUCUCU
rnacentral:rRNA from 1 species